rnacentral:lncRNA from 1 species
UUAAAAUUAUCAAUUCAGGGGCAGCAACCCAACAACAGGUUGUCUGAUUCAUCUGAAAAUUUCAGGGCAGAUAGAUCUUGACCUGAUAAACAAUAUAACCCAUGUCAGAUUUGCUCUAAAUGCUUUGGUUUUUGAGUUAUAAGCCAAAAACUGCAUUUGACCCCUAUGUUCUAUCUUUAGCAACGGCGACCAUGUUUGUUGAUAGAUCAUAACUUCGGAUACAAUUUACAAACUAGAUACCCUAAGGAACAUUCAGUUAAAGUUUGGAAGUAUUUGGCCCAGUAGUUUCAUAGGAGAAGAAUUUUGUAAAAGAUUUCUAAGAUUUACGAAAAAUGGUUAAAAAUUGACUAUAAAGGGCAAUAACUCCUAAAGGGUCAACUGACCAUUUCCGUCAUGUUGACUUAUUUGUAAAUCUUACUUUGCUGAACAUUAUUGCUGUUUACAGUUUAUCUCUAUCUAUAAUAAUAUUCAAGAUAAUAACCAAAAACAGCAAAAAUUUCCUUAAAAUUAUCAAUUCAGGGCAGCAACCCAACAACAGGUUGUCUGAUUCAUCUGAAAAUUUCAGGGCAGAUAGAUCUUGACCUGAUAAACAAUAUAACCCCGGUCAGAUUUGCUCUAAAUGCUUUGGUUUUUGAGUUAUAAGCCAAAAACUGCAUUUGACCCCUAUGUUCUAUUUUUAGCAAUGGCGACCAUGUUUGUUGAUAGAUCAUAACUUCGGAUACAAUUUACAAACUAGAUACCCUAAGGAACAUUCAGUUAAAGUUUGGAAGUAUUUUGCCCAGUAGUUUCAGAGGAGAAGAUUUUUGUAAAAG